ensembl:lncRNA
AAUUCUUUGUAUUUUGUGUAGUAGAGUAUAAGCUCUGAAAGAUCAAGAAGCUAUAUUCUUGCUCACAUCUGUAUCUCCAGUUGUGUCCACCAACACUCUUAUUUAUGAAAUGAAUGUCUAUUAUAAAGCCAUCUCUUAAUUUUGAGGUAUUCCAUUUAUUUUUAUAGAUGUACCUGUGUGGUCUAAGCUGGAAUCUGGUCAUCUUCCUUCCAUGCAACAACUUGUUCAAAUUCUUGACAAUGAAAUGAAGCUCAAUGUGCAUAUGGAUUCAAUCCCACAUCAUCGAUCAUAGCCCCACCUAUCAGCACUGAAAACUUUUACAUUAAGGAAUUUUUGCAAGAGCAGCGCGACUGACAUUAUGAAGGCCUGUACUGAAGACAGCAAGCUGUUAGUACAGACCAGAUUCUUUUUUGGCAGGCUCGUUGUACCUCUUGGAAAACCUCAAUGCAAGAUAGUUUUUCAGUGCUGGCACAUUUUGGAAUUCUGCACAUUCAUGGAGUGCAAUAAUACUGUAUACUCUCCUAUCCCCAUUCAUCUAGUUAAUGUUUCUUUUUAAAAUGUAGGUAUUAUUACUACUUAUAACUUUUCCUCAGUCAUAUUUAAAAAAGGAGAAAUUGAAUUACAGUUUGUUUUUUUUCUCAAGAUGUCUGUUAAGUCUGUUUUGCUUUUUUAAAUUAAUUCUUGUUUUUUUACAGUUUAAAGUCAAUGUUUUGGGGAAUACAGCUCAAGUUCCCAAAUACUUUAUAAAGUUUAUCAGACAUUUCUUAAUUUGGCCAUGUUCAAUUAUAGUUUUCAAAAUAUUGCUGGUUAUGAACAAUGCAUUAUAAGAUUAUGGGGAGAGGGUCCAAUAUCUAGAGUACUCAACCAAUUUGUGUGUAUGUGUGUAUGCGUGUGUGAUACCAGAGAACUACUACAAAACCAACUGCUUUUUAAAUCCUAUUGUGUAGUCAAGUGUCUUGCCUUGACCAGUCUACUGAGUUGAAUUAACUGGGCCUUUACCUUUAUACUUAACUAAAUAAAAAACUAAGCAGAUGUCAGUUAAAUGAGAAAGUUUCAGUUUAUUGUUCAGUGUACCUGUUAACAUCAUAUUUAAUGAUUGCCUAAUUUUUUUUUAAAUUUACAGAUAAUAUCCACAAGGAACAAACUUUAGAUUCAUACACAAAUAAUAAGUUCAUUUACCAUUUUUAGGAUAAAUGAAACUCACCUCACUAAAUAUAAGUUCACUUGAACCUCUUUACAAUAUUAAUAUUGCCAGGUGUGGUGGUGUACACCUGUAAUCCCAGCACCAGGGAGGCUGAGGCAGGAAGAUUGCUGUAAGUUCAAAGCCAGCUUGGGCUAGCAUAGUUCAAGGAUAGCAUGAACUAUAUAGUGAGACCCUCUCAAAACAAUACAAAACAGAAAAGCCCCCAAAACAUUGUUAUUAGGUGAACAGAGAUCUCUUGUUCAGUAACCUAAUUUGUCUAGAACAUAUAUCAAAUUGAUUGAUUGAUUGAUUUUUUAGGCAGGGUCUCACUGGUGUAGUCCAGGCUGGCCCUGAACUCAAUAUGUAUCCCAGGCUGAUCUCAAACUUGGGAUUGUCCUGCUUCAGCCUUCUGAGUGCUGGGAUUACAGGCAUCCGCCACCAUGCCCAGCAAGAAUUUUAUUGUAUUUAAAAAACAAAAUUGAAAAAAUUUUAAAUUCAAUUUUAUGCAUUGUUCCAGAGUUCUAAAAGGAGUUUUCUAAAAGCUUAAAUUGAUAAAAACUAUAAGAAUUAUUUAACAGAAAUAGGACCAUAAUGUACAAAAAAAGUUACAUAUCAGCAGCAAUGACAUACUUCAGCUUCCAUAAAAUAAAGUAGUAGAGGCAAAAGUUGCCCUAGAUUUGUUGGUGGAAAUUAAGAGAUUUAAGGAAAAGCUGUGAGGUAGUAAAAUAUUGGUUUCACCUAAUUCUUUAGUAUUAUAUGAUAUCUAACUUUAAACUUGGUCACUGAAUAUUUACUGAAUGUAUAUGAGAUAAUGACCCAGAUUGUGUCAGCCUCAAGGUGGAACAUACUGGGAAUUCUAGAUUAUGGGAAUUUAGUCUAAUGAUUCACUGCAGAAAAUUGAUUAAAUGAUUGUCCUUUUAAUUAAGAAUGUAGAACUGUUAACCUGAGUUCUUCAUACAGUGAUAGUCAGUAGACUUUAAAAGUUCCUUAAAAAUUAUUUAGGUAUAAUACCAUUUUAUCUUGUGUCAAACUCCCUGUCUCCUGCAAGUUGAAUAUCUUCUUUAGUGUGUCUUGGGGUUCUUUUUUCAGCUAAUGGACAGUCCAUUAGUGACACAGUUAACUUUUUAGCUCAUAGACAUUCAAACUGGGGCCUGAAUGUUCCCAUGGACCUGACAGGUCAACCUGAAGAACCUAAGAUUGAAAUCCAGCUUUCCCUAUGUUUGUGUUAGGUUAAAUAAUUGUCUUUUAGAGAAUAGAUUUAAGUGGCUUACCCACUGAAAAAACUCAGCUAUUUUGUUGACACUCGUCACUAUUUUGUCUUACGCUUAGCCAUAUUUAAAUCUAGAAUUUAAUAGGGUCUAGUAAAAAAAUCAGUAGAACACAUGAAUGUAAAAUACAUAUAAGGAAAAGGAGAAAGUAAACUAGAGUGUAACUCUUCCACUAACAUUUCAAAAUUUAUUAGUUGCUUAAUGGUGUGGCUGUGUAGUUUACAAAUGUCUAUGCACCAUAUUAAUUAAAAGAUUGUAGAACAUAUCAGCAAAUUGGCUAAAGUUAUUGAAGUUUUUUACUGCAGUUGUCAUUGUGGAAGAAAUUGUUAUAUUAAUAAAAAAUGAGUAAAACAUGGC